GUUUUUUUCUGUGUUGUUAUAGUUCUUGUUGUUUGUGCUUUUGUGAUACUUUUUUUUUGCUGUUUUCUUUGGGUUCGUACCGCUUUUUCAGCUGUGAUGUUGAUAAUGAAGAUCUGUAGUUUCACUCGUGUGGACUGGAAAGACUACUAGUCUGCUAGAAAUAACGAGUAACAACUCCAGUGGGUGUGAUGAAUAACUUUUCAAUUCUGUUGCCCAGGCUGGAGUGCAGUGGCACUAUCUUAGCAUGCUGUAGCCUAUGUCUCGGGUUCAAGUGGUUCUGUCUCAGCCUCCUAAAUAGUAGGGGUUACAGACAAUGCUAGGAGCUAGAAACAUGAGGAAUACAUGAGCUCGGUGCCAAUGGAACGUGCUUUCACACCGGGUGCAGCUGACUACCACAUCAUACAAAACUCAUCACUGCCGUUUUAGAUGUGUAAUCUGAUUGGCAUGGGCUCACAGAGGAGGGAGUAAGGGAAGAGUAAGAAGAUUUCAAAGGAGAGACACAGGUUGCAGGUUAGCAGGAGAACAGGCAAGCCAAAUGCAAAGGAGCCACUUCAGAAAUGUCACAGAAAAGU
rnacentral:sRNA from 1 species